AGCCCAAGCUUAAAACCCAAAGGACUUGACGGUGUCCCACCCACCUAGAGGAGCCUGUUCUAUAAUCGAUUCUCCCCGAUAUACCUCACCGCUUCUAGCUUUUUUCAGCCUGUAUACCUCCGUCGUAAGCUUACCCUAUGAACGCUUUUUAGUGAGCUAAAAGAUCUUUACAUAAAUACGUCAGGUCAAGGUGCAGCCUACGAAGCGGCAAGAAAUGGGCUACAAUUUCUACAAUAGAACACAACGAAAGACUACAUGCAACUUAGUCAUGAAGGCGGAUUUAGUAGUAAAAAGAAAAUAGAGAGUUCUUUUUAAUCAGGCGCUGGGACGCGUACACACCGCCCGUCACCCUCUUCAAACGCUUAAACCCAGUUUAUAACAAAUUUCUGCACCACAGAAGAGGUAAGUCGUAACAUGGUAAGCGUACUGGAAAGUGCGCUUGGAAUAA
rnacentral:rRNA from 1 species